GGUAGGGUAGCCGAGCGUUUAGGCGGUGGGUUGUAGCCCCGAAGACAGAGGUUCAAGUCCUCUCCCUGUCACCA
rnacentral:tRNA from 1 species